GUCCACGCUGUAAACGAUGGGCACUAGGUGUCCGGGUAUUGACCCCUGGGUGCCGCAGCUAACGCAUUAAGUGCCCCGCCUGGGGAGUACGGUCGCAAGAUUAAACUCAAAGGAAUUGACGGGGCCCGCACAAGCGGUGGAGCAUGUGGUUCAAUUCGACGCAACGCGAAGAACCUUACCUGGGCUAGACAACGGCGGACCGUCCUAGAAAUAGGAUCUUCCCUUCGGGGACUGCCGGUUCAGGUGCUGCAUGGCUGUCGU
rnacentral:rRNA from 1 species